rnacentral:tRNA from 1 species
CUUUCUGGCGGAGGGCGGCCGGGCUCCGCGCUUUUUGAAGAGGCGCGACGACACUUGUUCAGAUCGUCUCGAAGAGAC